rnacentral:lncRNA from 1 species
GCUUUUCCGAGGCAUGCUUGGGUAGCCCAAGUUCAUCAUGGCUGACACAAAUGCCCCCUCCAUGUGUUUAUAGUAGAGUAGUUUAUUUGCAUUUAUGAAAUGUACAGCUAAUUAAGAAGGACUAGUACUUAAACAGCUCUUUAAUACUUGAAAUUAAAUUGUGGUUUAUGAAUUUUAAGUCCACAGAACUCCUUGGAAACGCUUCAAAUUAAGGUUACAAAAUCGACUAGCUCUGCACCUGAGAAGACAGAACCAGCCUGAAUAGGUUUUGGUUGUCAGCAGAACAACUUUGUUAUUUGGCGAUGCAGCUUCCUUGUUGUGUCCUUCAAUUGUCCCUUGAGUCUGCCAAGGAUUAUACUCUAUCUAACACAUACAUUCAAAGAUGCUGUCCUGCCCUCUGAGUCCACAUGGAAGUGUGUGUCACAGCUAAAUGGCUGCAGUACCGAUAUCAAGAGGAAGUGACCGGCAUAGCAAGAAUAUUCAACGGAGGGGUGCACCCACCGAUGAGCAGCCAGCCCACUCUUUCCUGCCCUGGCAAUCCGAAGGACACCCGUGGGAGAGAGACGUCAGCGUCACCACAGCCGUCCGCCGCCGUCACCAUCAUCAACACUAACAUCAUCAUCAUCUGUGGAAGUCCCUCAGUGACCACAGCCCAGUGAGCCAGAGCGCAGAAUCUUUCAAGGGGAUCCUCCAUCCUCGAUGUCGUCAUGAAGAUCUGGAUCACAGACUGGAGGCCUCCCGUCAGAGGACUAGCCACAGAUACAGCCAAUUGC